CAUGACUGGGGUGAAGUCGUAACAAGGUAGCGCUAGGGGAACCUGGCGCUGGAUCACCUCCUUA
rnacentral:rRNA from 6 species